rnacentral:rRNA from 1 species
AUUGAACGCUGGCGGCAUGCUUUACACAUGCAAGUCGAACGGUAACAGGGUGCUUGCACCGCUGACGAGUGGCGAACGGGUGAGUAAUGCGUCGGAACGUGCCGAGUAGUGGGGGAUAACGCAGCGAAAGUUGUGCUAAUACCGCAUACGUACUGAGGUAGAAAGUGGGGGACCUUCGGGCCUCACGCUAUUCGAGCGGCCGACGUCUGAUUAGCUAGUAGGUGAGGUAAAGGCUCACCUAGGCGACGAUCAGUAGCGGGUCUGAGAGGAUGGUCCGCCACACUGGGACUGAGACACGGCCCAGACUCCUACGGGAGGCAGCAGUGGGGAAUUUUGGACAAUGGGCGAAAGCCUGACCCAGCCAUGCCGCGUGUCUGAAGAAGGCCUUCGGGUUGUAAAGGACUUUUGUCAGGGAGGAAAUCCCUAGUGCUAAUAACACUGGGGGAUGACAGUACCUGAAGAAUAAGCACCGGCUAACUACGUGCCAGCCGCCGCAGUAA